rnacentral:rRNA from 1 species
AUGUUUGAUACAAAGAUAAAAAUGAAGUAUGUGGCGAUAAAGUGGGCUAUGUCUACGCAGAGGGUUUUCCGAGAACACAUAUCAAGUCCAACAAACUAUACCGUGAAGUCUGUUGAAAAAGGUUGUCCUUGGAAGGUCCACGGGCACGUGCCGAAGUAUGACAUCCAUUGGGUUGUCACCGAUGUCGUACCACAUAAUUGUGUGAGGAAAAACCUUCUGGUGAAUCAUCCAAAUUUGACUUCAACUCCCUUUGCGCAACUCAUGUAUACUGAGAUAGUGGACAAGAAAGAUAUGGAAGUAAAACACAUCCAAACAGUAGUGAAGGUCAGAUGGAAUUAUAACAUUCCUUAUGGGAAGGCUUGGCGGGCUAAGCAAAAGGCUGUGGUAGAAAGGUUUGGGACAUUUUUGACUCUUAUGAUUAUGUUGUCCAUCUCGUGGACAUACCGAAGGAGAGGAAUCCCAACACUUAUGUUAGCGUACAACACACAAGGUUGCGAGUAUACCUGA